rnacentral:tRNA from 2 species
GGAGGUGUGGGUGAAUCGGUAAAACCACCACACUGCUAACGUGGCUGUCGUGAAAGCGGCUUGCAGGUUCGAGUCCUGCCGCCUCCG